rnacentral:rRNA from 1 species
GGACCAUCCUCCAAGGCUAAAUACUCCUGACUGACCGAUAGUGAACCAGUACCGUGAGGGAAAGGCGAAAAGAACCCCGGCGAGGGGAGUGAAAAAGAACCUGAAACCGUGUACGUACAAGCAGUGGGAGCACAGAGCAAUCUGUGUGACUGCGUACCUUUUGUAUAAUGGGUCAGCGACUUAUAUUCUGUAGCAAGGUUAACCGAAUAGGGGAGCCGAAGGGAAACCGAGUCUUAACUGGGCGUUAAGUUGCAGGGUAUAGACCCGAAACCCGGUGAUCUAGCCAUGGGCAGGUUGAAGGUUGGGUAACACUAACUGGAGGACCGAACCGACUAAUGUUGAAAAAUUAGCGGAUGACUUGUGGCUGGGGGUGAAAGGCCAAUCAAACCGGGAGAUAGCUGGUUCUCCCCGAAAGCUAUUUAGGUAGCGCCUCGUGAAUUCAUCUCCGGGGGUAGAGCACUGUUUCGGCAAGGGGGUCAUCCCGACUUACCAACCCGAUGCAAACUGCGAAUACCGGAGAAUGUUAUCACGGGAGACACACGGCGGGUGCUAACGUCCGUCGUGAAGAGGGAAACAACCCAGACCGCCAGCUAAGGUCCCAAAGUCAUGGUUAAGUGGGAAACGAUGUGGGAAGGCCCAGACAGCCAGGAUGUUGGCUUAGAAGCAGCCAUCAUUUAAAGAAAGCGUAAUAGCUCACUGGUCGAGUCGGCCUGCGCGGAAGAUGUAACGGGGCUAAACCAUGCACCGAAGCUGCGGCAGCGACGCUGAUGCGUUGUUGGGUAGGGGAGCGUUCUGUAAGCCUGUGAAGGUGUGCUGUGAGGCAUGCUGGAGGUAUCAGAAGUGCGAAUGCUGACAUAAGUAACGAUAAAGCGGGUGAAAAGCCCGCUCGCCGGAAGACCAAGGGUUCCUGUCCAACGUUAAUCGGGGCAGGGUGAGUCGACCCCUAAGGCGAGGCCGAAAGGCGUAGUCGAUGGGAAACAGGUUAAUAUUCCUGUACUUGGUGUUACUGCGAAGGGGGGACGGAGAAGGCUAUGUUGGCCGGGCGACGGUUGUCCCGGUUUAAGCGUGUAGGCUGGUUUUCCAGGCAAAUCCGGAAAAUCAAGGCUGAGGCGUGAUGACGAGGCACUACGGUGCUGAAGCAACAAAUGCCCUGCUUCCAGGAAAAGCCUCUAAGCAUCAGGUAACAUCAAAUCGUACCCCAAACCGACACAGGUGGUCAGGUAGAGAAUACCAAGGCGCUUGAGAGAACUCGGGUGAAGGAACUAGGCAAAAUGGUGCCGUAACUUCGGGAGAAGG